rnacentral:rRNA from 1 species
GACGAACGCUGGCGGCGUGCUUAACACAUGCCAGUCGAACGGAAAGGCCCUGCUUGCAGGGUACUCGAGUGGCGAACGGGUGAGUAACACGUGGGUGAUCUGCCCUGCACUUCGGGAUAAGCCUGGGAAACUGGGUCUAAUACCGGAUAGGAGCCAUUUUUAGUGUGAUGGUUGGAAAGUUUUUUCGGUGUAGGAUGAGCUCGCGGCCUAUCAGCUUGUUGGUGGGGUAAUGGCCUACCAAGGCGGCGACGGGUAGCCGGCCUGAGAGGGUGGACGGCCACAUUGGGACUGAGAUACGGCCCAGACUCCUACGGGAGGCAGCAGUGGGGAAUAUUGCACAAUGGGCGCAAGCCUGAUGCAGCGACGCCGCGUGGGGGAUGACGGCCUUCGGGUUGUAAACUCCUUUCGCUAGGGACGAAGCUUUUUGUGACGGUACCUAGAUAAGAAGCACCAGCUAACUACGUG